AUUGAACCCUGGCGGCAGGCUUAACACAUGCAAGUCGAGCGGUAACAGAGAGAAGCUUGCUUCUCUGCUGACGAGCGGCGGACGGGUGAGUAAUGCCUAGGAAUCUGCCUAGUAGUGGGGGAUAACUUGCCGAAAGGUAAGCUAAUACCGCAUACGUCCUACGGGAGAAAGGAGGGGACCUUCGGGCCUUUCGCUAUUAGAUGAGCCUAGGUCGGAUUAGUUAGUUGGUGAGGUAAUGGCUCACCAAGACCGCGAUCCGUAACUGGUCUGAGAGGAUGAUCAGUCACACUGGGACUGAGACACGGUCCAGACUCCUACGGGAGGCAGCAGUGGGGAAUAUUGGACAAGGGGGGGAACCCUGAUCCAGCCAUGCCGCGUGUGCGAAGAAGGUCUUAGGAUUGUAAAGCACUUUAAGUUGGGAGGAAGAGCAGUUAACUAAUAUUUGACUGUUUUGACGUUACCGACAGAAUAAGCACCGGCUAACUUCGUGCCAGCCGCCGCCGUAA
rnacentral:rRNA from 1 species